UGCAAGUCGAACGGCAGCGCGGGGCAACCUGGCGGCGAGUGGCGAACGGGUGAGUAAUAUAUCGGAACGUACCCUGGAGUGGGGGAUAACGUAGCGAAAGUUACGCUAAUACCGCAUACGAUCUAAGGAUGAGAGUGGGGGAUCGCAAGACCUCAUGCUCCUGGAGCGGCCGAUAUCUGAUUAGCUAGUUGGUGGGGUAAAGGCCCACCAAGGCAUCGAUCAGUAGCUGGUCUGAGAGGACGACCAGCCACACUGGAACUGAGACACGGUCCAGACUCCUACGGGAGGCAGCAGUGGGGAAUUUUGGACAAUGGGCGCAAGCCUGAUCCAGCAAUGCCGCGUGAGUGAAGAAGGCCUUCGGGUUGUAAAGCUCUUUUGUCAGGGAAGAAACGGUGAGGGCUAAUAUCCCUUGCUAAUGACGGUACCUGAAGAAUAAGCACCGGCUAACUACGUGCCAGCAGCCGCGGUAAUACGUAGGGUGCAAGCGUUAAUCGGAAUUACUGGGCGUAAAGCGUGCGCAGGCGGUUUUGUAAGACUGUCGUGAAAUCCCCGGGCUCAACCUGGGAAUGGCGAUGGUGACU
rnacentral:rRNA from 1 species